rnacentral:rRNA from 1 species
UACAGAGGUCUCGAGCGUUGUUCGGAUUCAUUGGGCGUAAAGGGCGCGUAGGCGGCCUGAUAAGUAGGGGGUGAAAUCUUGCGGCUCAACCGCAAGGCUGCCUUCUAAACUGUCAGGCUUGAGCACAGUAGAGGCAGGUGGAAUUCCCGGUGUAGCGGUGGAAUGCGUAGAGAUCGGGAAGAACAUCAGUGGCGAAGGCGGCCUGCUGGGCUGUUGCUGACGCUGAGGCGCGACAGCGUGGGGAGCAAACAGG